UGGUAUGCACUGGCUUCGCUGAUUCCUCCUUUCUGAAGAACUGUUAUGCCAUUAAUUUGGUGUUGCAGGGAAACAGGACUGUUACUUUGAAAAAAUUAGAGUGUUUAAAGCAGGCUAACGCUUGAAUACAUUAGCAUGGAAUAAUGAAAUAGGACGUUUGAUCCUAUCUUGUUGGUUUCUAGGAUUGACGUAAUGAUUAAUAGGGAUAGUUGGGGGCAUUAGUAUUCAAUUGUCAGAGGUGAAAUUCUUGGAUUUAUUGAAGACUGACUACUGCGAAAGCAUUUGCCAAGGAUGUUUUCAUUAAUCAAGAACGAAAGUUAGGGGAUCGAAGACUAUCAGAUACCGUCGUAGUCUUAACCAUAAACUAUGCCGACUAGGGAUCGGAUGAUGUUAAUUUUUUAAUGACUCAUUCGGCGCCUUACG
rnacentral:rRNA from 1 species